rnacentral:pre_miRNA from 1 species
UUACAUUGGCUAUAGAUGAUUUAGAGCUAGUAGUGAGCUAUACUAUUGAACUUGCUCUUAGAGCAAGUUUAAUAGUAUAGCCAACUACUAGCUCCAAUUCAUUUAUAGCCA